AGGACGAACGCUGGCGGCGUGCUUAACACAUGCAAGUCGAACGGUAAGGCCCUUCGGGGUACACGAGUGGCGAACGGGUGAGUAACACGUGGGUGAUCUGCCCUGCACUUCGGGAUAAGCUUGGGAAACUGGGUCUAAUACCGGAUAGGACCACGGUCUGCAUGGAUUGUGGUGGAAAGCUUUUGCGGUGUGGGAUGGGCCCGCGGCCUAUCAGCUUGUUGGUGGGGUGAUGGCCUACCAAGGCGACGACGGGUAGCCGGCCUGAGAGGGUGUCCGGCCACACUGGGACUGAGAUACGGCCCAGACUCCUACGGGAGGCAGCAGUGGGGAAUAUUGCACAAUGGGCGCAAGCCUGAUGCAGCGACGCCGCGUGGGGGAUGACGGCCUUCGGGUUGUAAACCUCUUUCAGCAGGGACGAAGGGUGACUGACGGUACCUGUAGAAGAAGCACCGGCCAACUACGUG
rnacentral:rRNA from 1 species